rnacentral:lncRNA from 10 species
AUCAAAUCAUACUGACACAAAGGCAAGGCAGAGCAGUUCACCAAACAGCAGAUUUUGCCCUGAGCAAGGCACUUCUUCAUGCAUGGAGCAGUCCCCCACUGUUUCCUGUAAGAGCCUGUGCCCGGCUUCAGAAAUCAAACAGGAGCCCUUCAACAAAGUACUUCCUUUCCAGCAAAAGAAUAGCUAAGAGCUGGGUUACCCCAGGACAACACUUGCAGGAAUAUUAUGCUAAUGGAAGCUCUGGGAAGCCAGCUUGGCUCCACUCAAGGAAGUGGCACCAGGGGCUCUCCCAAGUCAAGGGGCUAUCAUAUCCUGCCCUUGAGUGUUUAUCAUCUAAGCAGGCUCCAUGACCAUGGAAAUGGAAGGUUGAGCACAAACCCCUGUCCUCUUGGAGAUUUCAUCCUGCAGGUAACAAUGGUGAUAGAGCACUCCUGUGCGCCGGGCUUUGUUCUAAGCCCUACUUAUAAAAUAACUCAUUUCAUCCUCACGACAAGUCUGCAAGAUCACUGAGAGAACCAGGUGUGUUGACUUUCCAUCCAGUGGGACUAGGAACUGGAAAAUUGCCUGGAAUUCAACCUUUAAUUCCAGUAUGGAGCAGAGAAAGCAGCCGUGGCUCCCUGCCAGGAGCCCUGGGCUGUGUGACUUUGGGCAGGCCUUUCUUCCACGCUGAACUCCAGUGUCCUCUCAAAUGAAACCUGGGGGUUCCUCCAGUGUCAACUCUAUGGUUCCAUAUGUUAGUGCUGGUACUGGGCUCAUCUCAAAGGUAAGGGUUUCCACCAUGCCCUUAAGAAGAAUUUCAGAUGUAGGAUGGCGUUGCGGGGCAGAAGGGUAGGUCAUCUCCUCACCCUGAACUUAGGGAUGACCUGAAGGAGAGAUUCAAAAGUGCUGUCACUCACUCAUUACUGACAUUGGUUACAGCCAGUCCCUCCUUGCUCUGAAAUUAGCUAUCUCCCUGUCUCCUGCAUGAGACCCUGAGCUUUUGAAAGCAGAGACUGCAUUUUGUCACCUCCAAACCCUCAGCUUCUUUCAUCAUGCCUGGCACCAUGAUGCUGCAGUUGCUCAUUGCAGGUUUGGUGAAUAAAUGAACAAAAUAAUGGAAUGUGUGCCUAUGAGAAUUAAUUUCAUAAGGCUUUAUCUUAAUAAGAAGAUGACAUUCUGGAAGCCAAAAGACACAACUUACAUUUGACCCGGGCUCUCAUUUUCUACCCCUUCCCUUCAAUUAUUUACAAGAGGCAACUCCCACUUAAUAGACAGAAAAGCUGAGACCUAGAUAGGACACAUGACUUGGAAUUUUACUUAUGCAAAGCAGAGAUUCUCUAUCAUCUUUUAGAUUCCUUAAUAUUAGACAUGAGGAAAUUGAGGCCCAAGAAGUGAGGCAAUGAUGACAUGAGGUCCCACAGCUCAGCAGUGGUAGGGUGGAGACAAGAUUCCAGCUCCCAAAUCAUAGUCUAGAGCCACUUAACACAGAGCUCAGGCAGCCCUGGUAUCCAGCUCCAGGUUCCCAUGGCAACUAUGUGGAACAAACCAUCUUCUUUGGGUAGCAUUGAUUAAUUCUUUAUAUUGCUUUUCUCUUUCUUUGAGGGGAAGUGUACUCUUCACUCUCCCUUCCUUUCAUUUAUGAAAGGAAGAGACUAGGAUGCCUUCCAGAAACAGGUAUCCAGACAAUAAAUGAAGAUCCUGGCUGAUAUAGGCCUGAGAAGGUCUCAGGAUUCGCCAGUGCCUGUAAGUAGAAUUAAUGACAUGGAAAAAAACAUUCUGGAAUCUGUUUGGAAUUCCUUGGCUUAUCAUUGACACCCAUUUCUGCACAUCUCUUUCUGAGUAGUAACAGCCUUUAACCACAUGAAAAUAUGUGACAGGCCCCUGGCAAUUCAUGCUUUCCAAGAGGUUUUUAUCGUAUUUAUUUCAUUUGAUUCUGUGGCAUAGACAGGGCAGGUAUUGCCAUUUUACACAUGAGGAAACUGAGGCCCAGAGAGGUUAAGUUCACAGCACUAGUGUAGAAUUCCUCAGCAGAUAGAAUUCUCCUUGUCUGAAAAGAGGCCAAAGAGUCAGCACCUGUGAGGUGUCAGACACUUGCGAGAUCCCUAGAUACCUCAGCGAGGGCUCAGCCAUGCAGAGAUGGAUAGGGGGCCUGUGAGGGGGCAGACAACAAACAACUCACUAAACUGAGAUCCCCACACGUUGUUGUAACUUCCAUGGAGGAAAUACAUGUAGGAACACCUUCAAGAUGGCUGGGAAUGUAACUCUCAGAGGCCAGCAUGUCAUUUGAAAACCAAGUGGUAGGAAAGGGGCAGUACAGGAGACGAGAAAGAGACAUUGCUUGGUGGAAGCAGCAAGCCCUGAAGUAUCAGCGUCCUGAGAGGACAUGGUUUGUAUCCUCAGGCAAGAGGAAGGAACCCAGUGAGGGACCAGCGUGGAGUAGGGAGGGGAGGAGAGACUGGUUGAGUAGACAGGGGCCAGAGUAUUUCAGGCCUUCUAGGCCAGGUAAGAUAUAUGCAUACUAUCAAAUGCACCUUUACACCCAUAUACACAAACAUGGGCAUCUGCACACCCAACCACACAUACGCACACAUGUGUGUGCUUAACAUGUUCACAUGUGCACUGACACACAUACAUAAACUUACCUGAAAAUGCAUGUACACACAGAAGCACAAAUACACAACUCUCUUACACACAUUAUCAUCUGCACUUAAACACACUUGCUCACCUAUCCACACUGAUUGCACCCACAUGCACAUUCAUAUCUGCACAAAAGCACUCACACACACUCUCCUGCACAUGUGUGCUUUGUUUCACAGAUGCACACAUUUCUACAUGCAUGCACACUUGCCCACUCACACAUAGCUACUCACAUGUGCAUGUGUACAGCCUACAACAAGCCCAGCUCAGAUAAGCUCUCAGCCACAGAUAAACUUCUCUGCUGGUUGGUUAUAAUCUUUCAUUGGAACUGACACGUUGAUAGCCCCAGUUUUUCUAGGAAGUGACCUUCAUGCCAGCUAUUGAUUUCUAGUGACUAUCAGGCGCCUGCCACUGGAGUGACAGGCCCGGUCAGAGGUCAGCCCUUAAAUAAAGCUUCUGGAUUACUAAGCACCAGCCACUCUAAUGAAAAUGGAAAUUGGCAUCCCUGGCUCCCUUUUAUGUGGAGUGUUUCCGCUGAUGGGGUUUCAGCUCCGAGUGACCACCUGCACCCCCUCUCCCAGACCCAGGGUGCUGUGGGUGCCCACAGGUGUGUGUUUUACCAGGGAGCUGGACCAAAGGCUAUAGGUGGUGACAGCUACCACGGCCUGAAGCUUCCUGGAUUCUGCCUUCUAGCAACAUCCGGGGCUGUCCCUAUAAGCUUGACAUUCAAGUAACAGACAAUUGCUACAGGCCCCAAGACCCACAGGUGACCGGCUUUGUGGUCUUGGGCAGGUGGUGUCAUCUCUCUGAGCUUUGGUUACUUCCACCCUUUCUGCCUCAUCCACA